rnacentral:rRNA from 1 species
CCCUGAGAAAGGGCUACCACAUCCAAGGAAGGCAGCAGGCACGCACAUUACCCACUCCCGGCACGGGGAGGUAGUGACAAAAAAUAACGAUACGGGACUCAUCCGAGGCCCCGUAAUCGGAAUGAGCACACUCUAAAUCAUUUAACAAGUACCUAUUGGAGGGCAAGUCUGGUGCCAGCAGCCGCGGUAAUUCCAGCUCCAAUGGCGUAUAUUAAAGUUGUUGCGGUUAAAAAGCUCGUAGUUGGUCCUGCGUCCCACGCUGUCGGUUCACCGCCUGUCGGUGCAACUGGCACGCCGUGGGAUGUCCUGCCGGUGGCGGCCGCGGCCCGGCGGGCGGGGCGUAAGACCCGGAACGGGUCCGAAGCUCCCCCCCGGGAUCCGCCGGUCGCCUAUCUAAUCCCGCCGCGGUGCUCUUAACUGAGUGUCGAGGUGGGCCGGCACGUUUACUUUGAACAAAUUAGAGUGCUCAAAGCAGGCUGAGCUCAGCCUGAAUAGUGGUGCAUGGAAUAAUUGAAUAGGACCUCGGUUCUAUUUUGUUGGUUUUCGGAACCCGAGGUAAUGAUCAAUAUGGACAGGCGGGGGCAUUCGUAUUGCGGCGUUAGAGGUGAAAUUCUUGGAUCGUCGCAAGACGCACUAAAGCGAAAGCAUUUGCCAAGUAUGUCUUAGUUGAUCAAGAACGAAAGUUAGAGGUUCGAAGGCGAUCAGAUACCGCCCUAGUUCUAACCAUAAACGAUGCCAGCCAGCGAUCCGCCGAUGUUCCUCCGAUGACUCGGCGGGCAGCUUCCGGGAAACCAAAGCUUUUGGGUUCCGGGGGAAGUAUGGUUGCAAAGCUGAAACUUAAAGGAAUUGACGGAAGGGCACCACCAGGAGUGGAGCCUGCGGCUUAAUUUGACUCAACACGGGGAACCUCAUCAGGCCCGGACAUUGGAAGGAUUGACAGAUUGAUAGCUCUCUCUUGAUUCAAUGGAUAGUGGUGCAUGGCCGUUCUUAGUUGGUGGAACGAUUUGUCUGGUUAAUUCCGAUAACGAACGAGACUC